UAUUUUUCUAAACCCUUUCUCUUUCUUUUUCUUUCUUUACGUUUUUCUUUGCUUUUUUUUAUUCAUUUUAUUUUAUUUAUCUUUUUUAUUAAAAAAAUCAAAAAAAUCAAAUUGUCCAAGAACAGCAAAGGUCAGACGCAAAUUCUCCAACCCAGAAAGGAUCUUUCCCUUCCCUUCUUUCUUUUUUUCAAAAAUUCUGCAACACCACAGUGACAAGAGGAACACGUUAAAACAACCCCUGCAUAACAACUGAACAGCAAACUCAGAGUACUGUCUUUUUUUUCCCAUUUGAAACUGAUGCUCUUAGCAUUGGAAAGUUGAGGUCAAACCCUCCCUUUUCCAUCAACACAAACCCUAGACAUUUGGGUAUAAAACAACAGAAACCAAACGAAAUCAGGGAGAAAAAAAAGAGGGGAAGACAGCCGCAACCUGCAAAACAAAAACAAGCAACAAAACCCUAAUUCUUUUCAUUAACACAGAAGCCACAGCCACAACCUCAAACACAACAGCAAAACAAACCUUUUUUUUCCUCUUCAACCGUUCUAAAAAGAACAACAACCAUCAAAACCCACCACCAACAAUUUUUCAACCAUCGAAACCAAAGAGAAAAAAAAACAAAAAAACAACAGAGGAUAGAAAGAAAGAGAAGGAGUUUAGAGCGAAAGAGAAGAAGAAAAGAAAGACUUUGAAAACUGCCUCCGAUCUGCGUUUGGGUGAGGCUUUUGAACUUUCCGUGCUUAUUUUCGUAUUCUAGGGGUUGAUUAAGGGGGUGGGUUCGAAUCCCCCAGGUGGUUUUUCCACCAUUUUUACUUCUUUUUUUUUUUGCCUUUUUUCUUUUGGAUCUUGGGCUUAAGCCCAGAUCUACUAUCAGCACCCCCCUAUGUUGCUGUUUAUCCCUCCCUGCCUUGUUUAAAUUUUCUUUUUAUUUUUUUUAUGCCAUUUAAUUUAUUUUUACCUUACAUGUCAUGAUUAAUAUUGCCAAAAAUGCCAAAAAUAUGUCAUGUUUCUUGAUGAUAUUUAUUAUUUUUGUUUAAAUGUAAAAAAUGCAAAAAAUAUGUGUUGUAUGAUUAUCUGUUAUCCAAGGGAAUAAAUAUUUUUUCGUUAGCCUCGCGUUACAUUUUUUUACUUGUCCCUUCAAAAUAAAAAGUUUUUGUUCUAAAGAGGAUUUGAAAUGGAGUGGUUGGACGGAUGACUUUCCACUCCCCGGUUACUUUGGAUUUCUUGCCGGAUGGCUUGUGGUCUGAGUAAUCGACGCUAAAAAAUAAUACCCUUUUUUAAAAUAAUGAUAAUACCCUUUUUCAUAUAACAAAACAAAAAAUUUCAAAUAAAUAAAAAAAUACUUUUCAAAAAGAAUCUUUUUCUAAUAAACCUCGACUUUCGUCGAGAGAUUUUUCCAACUCUCUUUUUUUAAAUAAAUGCCUUAAUACACUUAAGCAUGUUUAAAUAUUUUUUUCAAAAGAGACUAAAAAAUAUAAAAACAAAUUCAAACUCUUUUUUGCCGCUUGGCUUUUAGUUUUAAAACCUUUUCCCAAAAAAGUUUAGACGUGAGUCAUCUCCAUGGUCGAAAAUUCUAAUAUUCCCCAUAACAUUAAAACAAUGGAAAAUGUGAUUUCUUCUUCAUUUAGGAGAGUUAGUGGCAUACUCGAUCAUGAAUUCCGAGUGAGAGCCCUUCCCUAUUAUGAAUUAAAAAUCCCAUUUUAACACGUUCGUGGUGGAUUAAAAGGAGUUUAAAACUUAAGAUGACAAUUCGUCUUUCCUCCUAAAAAAAUAACCAAACAAACCAUUUUUACAAUUUUUACCCCGAACUACGAGAUUUUGAUCCUUAACGGGUACGUAGUGCAAGAGACCUUGCGUCUUCCCAAAUCAAAAUUAAUAAAAUACAUAUUUUAUUUUUCUUCUCAUUAUCCCAAUUAUUUAUAAACAAUUAUUUACAAGCAAAUCCUUUUUAGCACAAAAUACACAUAAACACAAGAGGUUCCCGUAGAGUACUACGGAUACGAAGGGUGCUAAUACCUUCCCUUUGUAUAACUAACCCCCGAACCUUUUAAUCUCUAAAAAAUUUAAUUUUGGGUUUAUUCGAUCUUUUUCCCUUCCCUUGGAUAAAUUAAAGUUCGGUGGUGAAUCAUUUUUUGAGAACCAAAGCUAACCAAUAGCUUGGCGUCCAAAAAUCACCGCGACAAUAUCAUUAAAAGUAUACUUUAGAUGUGUACAUCUAAUUUAAGUAAUAAUUUGUGCUAAUUUAAAAUAGACAUGCAAAAGGAGACAUUUAAAAUGGAAAUGCAAAAGCUAAAAACCGAAAAUAAUAUAGUAUAGAUACCAAGUAAUUAUAAAUUUUGUAACAAAAUAAAAUUUAAUUUCAGAAAAACUUAAAAAGUAGAAAAUCACUCUUGUGAAUGUUUUACUUGCAAUUUUCAUAAGUCUUAGUAUUAGUACAUGGGUUAAUUAGGAGAUGCUUUGACUAUCCCGCAUAGCAUUUGAUAUUUGUUUUUAUUGGGUUAUACUUGUUUGUUUGUAGCACUAUAUCUUCAAAAUAAUAAAUUAAGAGUAAUUGAAGAAUGGCUCACAAAAUUCAAGGAAUGUUGAAGAGAAUAGGAUUUAGAUGAUGGAUUGGAGGUUACUCUUGUUAAUUUAGGUAACCAUAAGUGGCUGGAAAAAAAUACACAUGAUAAAGUUGAGACCACUGUAUUAUGUAUAGUAACUUUAUAUAUGUUUUCAUGUCAAAGCAAGUAAUAAAUAAUUCCCAUUCCACAGUUGAUGUACUAAAUGUGUAAACAUUGCCAACCUAAUAGGAUAUAUAGCAAGUAAAAAGUGACCGAAAACAUAAUAAUAAACUAAUAAGAAUCAAAAUCAAGAGUGAAAAAUAGAGAUAUAUGCAAGAAUGGCUCACAAAUAUUUAUUGUUGUUGUUGCAGUCUCUGCAAUAUGUUGUUGUCUGCGAUGUAUCAAACUUGUUAGGAGAUGAUAGAACUAAUUUGUUGGUUGCAGUUAUUAUGCAUAGAGCAAUUCUCUUUUUUAAUGUACAGAAGCCUGAAACUAAUACUAAAUGAAGUGUGAAGGGUAUAUUUGGUAUUAUUAAAAGUUCACAUAUAUGAGUCACGUUUUUCUCUGCAUUUUGCUUGUCUUCUUCCCCAAAUGGGGAUUCAAAUUUUUCAACUCAUGAAAGUCCAUCAUCCUCGUACCAGAUUUGCAAUGUCCAAACCCUAUUUCUUGGACUAUUUAAAAGAAAAAAAAAAAAUCAUUGUGACCGUAACAUCCCCAAAACCGCAAACUCAGAAACCAUAAUCCAUCACCAACCCAUUCAGAACAGAAAGAGAAGAGAAAAGAGACGAGGGAGGCGAAAUCGAAAAAAGAAGAGUCCACCACCACUGUGGAUCUCCGAAAAAAGAAGGGUUGCGGUGUUAUCUGUUUUCAGCUCACGCUCGCGUUGGUAAGUUCGGGAGCUAUCCAUUCUCUGGUUUGUUGAUCUGGGUUUAGGAGGAGGAGAAAUAAUAAUAAUAGAAAAAGAAGAAUCCUCAACUCUCGUCGAGAGAUUUUCAAAACUCUUUUUCUUAAUAAAUGCUUCAAGUUAUAUGUGCCUUCAACUUAUAGUAGUUGUUUUAAAAAUAUGUGUUAUCUUCUAUUUUUACUUUUGGUUUGUAACUUUUCAAACUAAUUGUGAUUAGGUACAUUUGCUAAUUCUCAUCAUGCUUAGUGAAAGAGAUUUAAACAGCUUGCUCACUUUGCUAAUAUCUUCAACACCAACUACAACCUACGAACCCAAACCCUCCAAAUUUUCUUACAUACAAGUACUUGACCUACCCGCAAACGAAGUAAUAGACAAAAUAGAUGCUACUUUUGCUCUUGCUUAUGAGAGAAGCCCCUCAUAUAAUUUCAUAUAUCCUUCGCCUUCGAAUGUUGUCUAUUCCAAAUCUAUUGAUCAUUUAGUACUGAAGAAAAAUGGAAAUUCCAACACAGAGGAUAAAUUUAAAGCAAGGAUGAUAAUAUCCAUUUUAGAAGCGGUACGAAAAUUCUUAAGUGAGGGGAAAACCGUUACAAAGAGAGAGUUAUUUUACCAUUUGUCGAACGAGUUUGAUAAACAAGCUAUAUUAGAUAAUAGGCUACAUGACAUUGCUAUCAUGUUGAAUUGUAGUAUCCGAAGUCUCAAUAUAGUGUCAGGAACAAGAGGUUCCAUAAUAGGAAAUGUGAUUUUUAAGACCAAG